AUUUAUGAUUUAAGUUUUGAUGUUUUUUAUCUUUCUUUCUUUCUUUCUUCUUUUUGUAUGAUCGUAUAAAACGCAAAAAGGAUUUACCGUCGUCUUCCAGUAAAAAAAGAGAAAGAUGCCAAGCAAUAUUCAUCCUUUCAUCUUGU
rnacentral:ribozyme from 12 species